rnacentral:rRNA from 1 species
UACGUAGGCAGCGAGCGUUGUUCGGAAUUACUGGGCGUAAAGCGCACGUAGGCGGCUUUGUAAGUAAGAGGUGAAAGCCCAGAGCUCAACUCUGGAAUUGCCUUUUAGACUGCAUCGCUUGAAUCAUGGAGAGGUCAGUGGAAUUCCGAGUGUAGAGGUGAAAUUCGUAGAUAUUCGGGAAGAAACACCCGUGGCGAAGGCGGCUCUCUGGGACGGUACUGACGCUGAGACGGCGAAAGCGUGGGGAGCGAACAGG